rnacentral:piRNA from 1 species
UAGUAUGCAGUUGCUGACUGAA